UACAGAGGGUGCAAGCGUUACUCGGAUUUACUGGGCGUAAAGCGUGCGUAGGCGGUUUAUUAAGUCGGUUGUGAAAUCCCUGGGCUUAACCUGGGAACUGCAGUCGAUACUGAUGGACUAGAGUACGGUAGAGGGUGGCGGAACUCCGGGUGUAGCGGUGAAAUGCGUAGAUAUCCGGAAGAACACCGAUGGCGAAGGCAACCACCUGGGCCUGUACUGACGCUGAGGUACGAAAGCGUGGGGAGCAAGCAGG
rnacentral:rRNA from 1 species